rnacentral:lncRNA from 10 species
AACAGAGCAAGGCUAUUUUGGUCCCUCUCUCCACUCUAUGUGACCCUGAAAUGUGCCCUGGCCUUAGGAAACAUUCAGCUACAUCAGACAAUGCAAGUCAAGGAAGUUGCUGCCCAGAAACCAAGUGAGGACAUUUACAAGAACCGGCAGCGGCGGCAGCAGCAGCAGCAGCAGCAGCAGCAGCAGCAGCAACUGGAUUUGCUUUUUCACCAGAGGAUCCAGAUUUCCCUGUGGCCUCGCAAACAAAAAAGAAGGAAGACGGAGCAGCACAGUCAUCCCUUUGUGAAAAAGGCAUUCAGGUAACUGAGUGACUCAGCAAGCCUGGGUCUUGGGGAAAUUACGAAUACCUGGUUGAAGGGCAGUCCUCAGGCAGAGCCCCUGAGACCCGUUGAACUCUAGAGUGUGGGAGCAGAGGAGAUUCAGGGCCUGCCCAGGGGCAGAGUGCCCCCAGGACUCGCCCUGGCUCAGUUAAGGACUCCCCUCAGGAUCUGCAGAGGUGCAAGGCAGGGUGCACCUCUGCCUGGACUGAGCUGGAAAUGCAGCCGUGUGGCUGAAGUGGCCACUUCCUGCUUUCUGUAAAGCAGCCACGGGGACCUGUGAACAGAUGCACACCUGUCCUGAAGACACCCGGUUCUCAUGCUCUUCUCUGCAGCACCUGAAUUGGGCAUUCCUGGGUAAAGCUGUUUAAGUUACUUUCACUUUUAUCCACUUGUUUCCGUUAUUUCAACCAUGCACGUCCCUUGUGUAUGUAGGAUAAAGGUGUCUAAGAAUAAAGGUCCAUGAUUUAAAGUUUUUUCCUCUUCUUUCCCUGUCCUGACCACCUGAUCAUAAACUUGUAGAAAUAAAGUGGAUCUCAUGUUGUGUAUCUUUCGAUGCAUCUAGAGAGAUGGUUACAUUCAUAUAAAUAAACGGGCACAUCCAGCACACUAUUUCUAGUUGUCGUCUGCUAAUAAGUUUACAUCUGGUAAAUGCCAGUGUUUCAUCAAAUGGCUGCAUUGCACAUGAGUCAAUCUGUGUGACAAAGAAUAUGGCAGGUUUUGUACAGCCUUUGUAAAGACAUUCUUCAAUGCUGCCUUUUAAAAUAGAAAUGUUAAAUCCUGUAACUAAUCAACCUAUGCCUUGUUAGAGGGCUGACAUUUUCAAUAAUUCCUUUACAAAGGGUAGUGAGAUGCAUCAGAUCCCCCAGUGGCCCCCAAGUAGGGACAGUGACAGUCAGCAGUUCUUUACGGACACCUGCUCCGUGGCAGGUUCUCCGCCGGCCCUGGCUGCAGGCGGCCCUCAUCUAACAAGAUGCUUCGGUCCAUGGGUGGAGGACAAAGGCCUAUGGGCUUGGGGAGCGAGUUCUUUCGUCUCCUACAUGACCUUCAUCUGCUCGCGUUUGCCACGAAGCGCAUCUGGGUUGGAAGGAGAUGGUGGUUUCCCACGGAAGUCUGGUCCCUAAGUGACGCCUCUGCUGCCUACAUCAGAAUCUCCCAGGCUUGCUCCACAGUGGUCCCGUCACGUGGUGCAGACUCAUGCGCUGUCUUGUGUGUGCAGAGGCAGGCUUGGUCUUGUGUGCUCUUGAUCAUGCACCUAGUCACAUCUGUUCUACAGUGUUGCAUUCUUCUAAUUUCCAUGCACAUCUUUGUAUAGGCGUGUUCCCAUUGUUCCCAUGCCAAUAAGUGGUGUGCAAGGUUCCAGAGUGCACCAGUAUUUCUUUAGUCGGUGUCAUGCUGUUGGAUAUUCAGGUUUUUUAACCUAGUGUAAAUAACAUUCACAUUUCUAAAAACCAGAAGAGUGUUUGUGAUUAAGAUAUCAUCUUAGUGGAUAUUAAAUUGCUGCAUCUGAUUUCAUUUCUCUUUCCCAAAUAGUCAGUUGUGUGGGCUAGUCUCAUUCUGAAACUGCACACUCCCAUCCCAGAGGUAGAAAGCGAGAUCUCCUGCCUGCAUUUCAUGGAGCAUGUGAUUAUGGAGGUGUCCAGUCCCAGCAAACAGACCCCACAUUCUUUUCCUUCAGUGACUCAGACGCAAUAUGUGGAGAGUCCCAGACAGUAUCGCUCCCUCACGUUCAUUAACCUCCAGAGAUUAAACAUCACCUGAUACACAGAACUGUGGGUUCCCCGUUUGGCUAAGCAUCAGGUGCAGCCAGGUUCUUACCUAGGUGCACGUGACAAGGUGCUGCCAGAUGCCACCAGCGCAGACAGUCAGUGAGCCCACCUCAUCAGAGGGCACAUGAGAUCCCCAAAUGAGAAAGAACUCUAAGGAGCCAAAAUCUGCCAAGAUGGGUACAUUAAAGCUUGCAACUUUGCACGUGAGUGCACCCUCAGACUCAGCCAGUUUAUUCUCCUUUGCAGUCCAUUCUGAAAAGUCCAGCCAGAUGAUGGCUAAAGAGUAGAGAAUGGAAGGUGGAAGGCGGUUGCUGCUUGCAGAAGAGGCACGCUGGCAGCAUUGGCAGGGAGGAGGAGACUGGAAACUGAGUAGCAGAUCCGAGAAAUCAAAAUGCUCAGCAAAUGAGGGCAGGUGGCAUGGAGCUACUUCCCUGGGUCCAAGAGCCUAAUUACCUUAUUGUUCCAUAAGUUCAUGGCCUGCGGUCAUAGGGAAAAUAAAACACUGACUAGGGGUCGGUCUUUUCUGUUUAGAGGAGGCUCCUUGAAAC